CGGGGCGUGGCUCAGUCUGGUAGAGCACUGCGUUCGGGACGCAGGGGUCGUGGGUUCGAAUCCCGCCGCCCCGACCA
rnacentral:tRNA from 1 species